rnacentral:rRNA from 1 species
AACGAACGCUGGCGGCAUGCCUAACACAUGCAAGUCGAACGAGACCUUCGGGUCUAGUGGCGCACGGGUGCGUAACGCGUGGGAACCUGCCCUUAGGUUCGGAAUAACUCCCCGAAAGGGGUGCUAAUACCGGAUAAUGUCUUCGGACCAAAGAUUUAUCGCCUUUGGAUGGGCCCGCGUUGGAUUAGCUAGUUGGUAGGGUAAAAGCCUACCAAGGCGACGAUCCAUAGCUGGUCUGAGAGGAUGAUCAGCCACACUGGGACUGAGACACGGCCCAGACUCCUACGGGAGGCAGCAGUGGGGAAUAUUGGACAAUGGGCGAAAGCCUGAGAAAGCAAUGCCGCGUGAGUGAUGAAGGCCUUAGGGUAGUAAAGCUCUUUUACACGGGAUGAUAAUGACAGUACCGGGAGAAUAAGCACCGGCUAACUACGUG